rnacentral:rRNA from 1 species
UACGGGGGGGGCAAGCGUUGUUCGGAAUUAUUGGGCGUAAAGGGCGCGUAGGCGGCUUGGCAAGUGGAAGGUGAAAUCCCUCGGCUUAACCGAGGAACUGCCCUCCAAACUGCUUUGCUUGGGGCCGGGAGAGGCGAGUGGAAUUCCCAGUGUAGCGGUGAAAUGCGUAGAUAUUGGGAGGAACACCAGUGGCGAAGGCGGCUCGCUGGACCGGUUCUGACGCUGAUGCGCGAAAGCGUGGGGAGCAAACGGG